GCCGAUGUGGCGGAAUGGCAGACGCGACAGACUCAAAAUCUGUUAUCUGUAUGGAUGUAUGGGUUCAAGUCCCAUCAUCGGCA
rnacentral:tRNA from 2 species